UAUUGAUUCAGUCUCAUUAUUGAUCUCUUCAGGUUGUUUAUUUAUUCAUGAUCAAAUCUUGGUAAGGUGUGUGUCCAGGAAUUUACCAACUGGUUCCAGAUUAUCAAAUUUCUGGCAUAUAAUUGUUCAUAAUACUUGCUAAUAUAAAUCCUUUGUAUUUCUGUGGUGUCAGUUCUAAUUUCUCCUGUUUCAUCUCUAACUUUAUUUGAGUCUUCUUUUUCCCUAGUUAGUCCAGCUGAGAGUUUGUCAAUUUUGUUUACCUUGUCAGAGAAUCAGCUCUUCAUUUUGUUGAUCUUUUGUAAUUUUAUCUCUAUUUCAUUUAUUCCUGCUCUGAUCUUUAUUAUUUCUAUCCUUUUACUAAUUUUGGGUUUGUCUUGUUUUUCUACUUCUUUGAGGUGUGUGAUAGGUCAUUUGUAUGAGGUCUUUUCUGCUUUUCUUUUUUUUUUUUUUGAGAGA
rnacentral:lncRNA from 1 species